rnacentral:rRNA from 1 species
UUUUAAAUGGCCGCAGUAUUUUGACUGUGCAAAGGUAGCAUAAUCAUUAGUUUUUUAAUUAAAAGCUUGUAUGAAAGGCUGGACGAGGUAAAAUCUGUCUCUAUUUAAAUUAUAGUAGAAUUUAACUUUUAAGUUAAAAGGCUUAAAUAUUAUUAAAAGACGAGAAGACCCUAUAGAUCUUUAUAGUUUGUUAAAUUAAAUUAAUUUAGAAAUAUUAAUGUUUUAUUUAAUUAAAUUAUUUUAUUGGGGUAAUAAAAAGAUUGAAUUAAUUCUUUUUUAUAAUAAACAUUAAUUUAUGAAUAUUAAUGAUCCAGUUUUACUGAUUAUAAGAUUAAGUUACCUUAGGGAUAACAGCGUAAUUUUUUUAGAGAGUUCAUAUCGAUAAAAAAGUUUGCGACCUCGAUGUUGGAUUAAAGAUUAUUUUAGGUGUAGAAGCUUAAUAAUUUUGGUCUGUUCGACCAUUAAAUCUUUACAUGAUCUGAGUUCAGACCGGCGUAAGCCAGGUCGGUUUCUAUCUUUAAUAAAACAAAAUAUUUUAGUACGAAAGGACCAAAUAUUUGAUAUAUUUAUAUUUAAUUUAUUGAAUAUUA